rnacentral:lncRNA from 1 species
GCAGGAGAAACAGCUUUCUCUGGAGACAGUUUUCAGUGAAACAGCUCUCCUUUAUUGGGGGUAACAAGGGCUAUAUAAACCUUGGUGAAUAGUGGUUUUCGGGGGCAUUCAGCAACUGAAGAGGUAUUAAACGCCCGACCUUGGACAUCAGGCUUUGUGGUUUCCUACCACAACUUAUGACAUUCUGGAAGCUUCUAGGAAGAAAGCCCUGUGCUGGAACCUUGCACUGGGUGGCAAUGCCUGCAGGUCUGCAUUUCUUAGACUCUGAAAGCUACAGAAAGCAAAGAGGAGAAUGCGGAACAUCUGUGUGUGAGACUCACGCCUUCUGAUACCAGGUGGGCAGGAAGUUACGCACGAAGUAGCAGAAGAAAACCACAGAGAGUGGCAUGUUGGUGGCUGUGUCUCCUAAUGUUCUGAAUGGCUUUCUCUCACCUCUGUGCCCUAAACAGAGGGACUGAAUCUGCACAAGACCCGACAGGGUUAUAAUAUCACUUGCAUUGUGGGUUUGAUGUACCCUCCUUUUGUAAUCUUUUCAAAAGGUUCAUGGGAAGAGAGACCUGAAAAGGGAGAUCUGGCCUACCACAAUUUGGAAAGGAAGAGAGAUCACUUUACGCCAUGAUCAUAUCAUCCACCUCAUAAGUAUCCAUAAAACUCUUCUACAGUCCACAGUGCAGAACUCCCUGGACGACUUCCUGCCUUGGGGCAGCCGACUGCCAUCCAACUUUGGAGUAUCUGCUUUGCUUAGCUUUGCUAAAUAAAUUUCUGCUUAUAUUGAAUAUAUCUUUUUUAAAAAUUUUUCAGUUUUUCAAGACUUGUUUUCUCUGUGUAGCCCUGGCUGGUCUGGAACUUGCUCUGUAGACCAGACUGGACUUAAACUCUGAGACCCACCUGC